CCUACGGGAGGCUGCAGUGAGGAAUAUUGGUCAAUGGACGAGAGUCUGAACCAGCCAAGCAGCGUGAAGGAUGACUGCCCUAUGGGUUGUAAACUUCUUUUAUAUGGGAAUAAAACGUUCCACGUGUGGGAUUUUGUAUGUCCCAUAUGAAUAAGGAUCGGCUAACUCCGUGCCAGCAGCCGCGGUAAUACGGAGGAUCCGACCUUUAUCCGGAUUUAUUGGGUUUAAAGGGAGCGUAGGUGGAUUGUUAAGUCAGUUGUGAAAGUUUGCGGCUCAACCGUAAAAUUGCAGUUGAAACUGGCAGUCUUGAGUGCAGUAGAGGUGGGCGGAAUGCGUGGUGUAGCGGUGAAAUGCUUAGAUAUCACGAAGAACUCCGAUUGCGAAGGCAGUUCACUGGACUGCAACUGACACUGAGGCUCGAAAGUGUGGGUAUCAAACAGGAUUAGAUACCCCGGUAGUC
rnacentral:rRNA from 1 species